ACGAACGCUGGCGGCGUGCUUAACACAUGCAAGUCGAACGGUGAAGCGCCUUCCUUUUUGGUGGGUGUGGAUGAGUGGCGAACGGGUGAGUAACACGUGAGUAACCUGCCCCCUUCUUCUGGAUAACCGCAUGAAAGUGUGGCUAAUACGGGAUAUUCUGGGUCUGUCGCAUGAUGGGUCUGGGAAAGAUAUUGUUUCGGUGGGGGAUGGGCUCGCGGCCUAUCAGCUUGUUGGUGGGGUGAUGGCCUACCAAGGCGGUGACGGGUAGCCGGCCUGAGAGGGUGGACGGUCACACUGGGACUGAGACACGGCCCAGACUCAUACGGGAGGCAGCAGUGGGGAAUAUUGCACAAUGGGCGCAAGCCUGAUGCAGCGACGCCGCGUGAGGGAUGGAGGCCUUCGGGUUGUGAACCUCUUUCGCCAGUGAAGCAGGCCUGCCUCGUUUGUGGGUGGGUUGACGGUAGCUGGAUAAGAAGCGCCGGCUAACUACGUG
rnacentral:rRNA from 1 species